GCGCUCCCCCGGGCUUGGUCCUGCCCUCCAUGUGGACCUGACCUGCCCUCCAAGAGCGAGAGAAACAGGACUGGUUUGGGGGUGUCCUGUCCGAGUGGACGAGGGAGACCACGGUUUUCAGUACAACA